CUGAUUCUACGUUUAGCACGAUCUUUCUGACUCCGAGACGCGCAGAAGCGUCGCGCCUGGACCGGGCCUCCUGCACAGAAGCGUCUGCGUGAGUUAGCCGGUUCUGCAUCGUGAAAAACAAUUAUGUAAUUUCAUUUACAACAAGGGCAAAAAAAAUUCAUGACAAUCAUCGACGAAACCACCUGAUCUUAUUUGAUAGAAAUUUCGUUCGUUUAAUCUCGCUGAUCUGUGUGAUAAAGAUCAAUUUUUAAUACGGUUUGUAUCGUUUUUGUGCCAAGAACGGCAAAAGCCGACAUUGCUGCUAUUUUUUCCUUUUUUGAGAAGGAUAAAAAACCUAUAAAUAGAUCAUGAUAAAGAUCAUGAUUGAAUUUUAUAUCUAAUUGUUACGAUAAAAUGAAGCCGGGUUGUGACAGAUCGACGAUAACAUGAUAUUUGAAGAAUAUCGAAACGUACGAGAUACCUAUUUUUUAUAAUCGUAAGAAUCGCUUUUCGAAUAUCUUUGUCCAUUCCUUUGUCACGUGUGAUCGAGGAACUCGUUCAAUAAUGAAUUUCAAAUAUUAUGAUCAUUCAAAAAUUCAGAAUUUUGAGUCCGCAUCCGGACCGCACCGAGCUAAGGGCUGCAGACGAUAAUGCAGUCAGGACAAACCGCAGGUACCAAUUUGGUUGCCGAAAUUCUGGAAGAUGGCGACAGUUAACGGUUCAAAGCUGAUGCAAUAAUCAUUGCGCUAUUCGCACCACCGAUUCACACCUCUUAUCGAUCAAGGAGGUGGCGCGCUCAACCCACCCUACGUUAUUCCGAUGAACUAUUUUUGCCGCAAGCGGGUGGAUGGCAAUCGAUUUAAACAUCACGAGCUUUUGAGAGGCGUUCGGUGAAGCUAACUGCACAUUGUUAGUACAUAAACUCGAACCAAACUUCAUUCAAAGUUUUCAUAAAUCAGCGAUCCCGAAUCUCCGUAAGUAGUGAGGCUAAUUUGGGAUCGGGGUCAACGGAUUUAAGUCUUCGUUCAAGGCCCUCGAGAUCCACGCGUUCGAUCCAAGUCGGAGGAUCCGUAUCUCGGGGUGGAAGAGGAGCCAGCAAUCUUUCAGCGGCAGCGCAUAUCCCGCACCAAGUCCUGAAGUCGACAGGAACCGGCGACGGGAAUAUUAUCCGGCAGCAUGUGUUUCACCCCGUUUUCGUCUUCCUCGAAGUACCUGUUGAAAGCUCGUCUGAAUAUCAAUUUUCUUCCGGGGGUGACGAAUACGUGCCGACUCAGAGCUAUUCUUAUGGAUUCGUUCGACUUGCCUUCGUUGAAAAUUCCCCUUCGACGGUGUCGCGAUCCAACUGUCUGCCAAGAUGCUUGAGGAUAUCUGCGUCGAUAAAACUAUUCGGUAAAACACGAUCAGCUGGAAGAG